rnacentral:rRNA from 1 species
GAUGAACGCUGGCGGCGUGCCUAACACAUGCAAGUCGAACGAUGAACCUUAACUGAUUUCUUCGGAGUGAUUUUAAGUGGUGUAGUGCCGGACGGGUAGGUAACGCGUGGGUAACCGGCCUUGGCGAAGGGGAUAGCCUUUGGAAACGCAGCAUAAUACCCUAUGAUGUGAUAAUAUCUAAUGCUAUUUUCAUAAAAGAUUUAUCGCUCUAGGUUGGACUUGCGUCUGAUUGGUUAGUUGGUGGGGUAACAGCUCACAAAGGCAGCGAUCAGUAGCGGGCUGGAGAGAGUGUCCGGCACCAUUGAGACUGGGCCAGGGCCCAGAUUCCUACGGGAGGCAGCAGUGGGGAUAUUGGCACAAGGGGGGAACCCCGGAGGCAGCGAGGCGGGGGGAUGUAGAAGUCCUUCGGGAUGUAAAACUCUUUUAUAAGGGAAGAUAAUGACGGUACCAGACGAAUAAGCACCGGCUAAUUACGUG